AUGGGCACAUUCGAGCGGAUCGCUUUUGUCAUGUCCGUGACCAUCAUUGGUCACGCCUUCCAAACUAAAUGUAGCUUUAUAAAGAGCGAAAGCAGUUUCUCUAUAGUGUCAGAGGUUUUUGUACGGCCGCUAAAUGAGAUUGUAUCACUGUGGUACACUUUUGGUGGAGGCACUAGACUGGAUGUUGGAAGUGACGUUAGUCCCACCUUGACAGUCCUGCCCCCCUCCAGCGUUGAGCUGCAGCAGGGCAAGGCCACUCUCAUGUGCCUGGCCAACAAGGGCUUCCCCUCAGACUGGAAGCUGACCUGGAAGGUGGACGGUAGCAGCAGCAACACCUGGGAGGUGACUGGGAGCCCCGGGGUCCUGGAGAAGGAAGGCCACUACAGCUGGAGCAGCACCCUGACCCUUCCUGUCGACCAGUGGAGGAAGGUGGGCUCUGUGACCUGUGAGGCCACCCAGGGCUCCCAGUCUCCACUCUCUGAGACACUGAGGAGAGACCAGUGUUCUGAUUAAUGAGUCCCCCCCCUCUCUGACUCCACUGUUUUUACUCUGCACCUCUCCUUCUUACUGUUCCAGCAAUACUAGCACACUUGUGCUGCACUGGACCCUGUGUGGGAAUCCUUCCUCCAGCUGGAGCUUUUAGCAUAGUGGAACAAACAGAAUAUAUGUCUGAUUCUGAUGUCAAAUAGAUCUGCUUGGCUUUCAUAUCACUUGUUCUGCACCUAAUUGCUGUAAUGCUGUUGGUUCUGACAUGUUGAGAUAAUAAAGACGGUCAAUCU